CAUUAUCUUUCAUGGCUGCCA
rnacentral:piRNA from 1 species